rnacentral:rRNA from 1 species
AUGCAGUGGGUCUCAUCUCCCCGCUCAGUUUACUGCAAAGCUUCAACCAAACUAAAUGUGUUAAUGAUAUAUGUAUCUUGUCAAAUUGUUUUUUCAGAUCGUCCACAUUUUAGGCCUAGGAGACAAGAACACCUUUGCACAGGAGAUAGAGAAGCAUAUGGUUGCCGAGUUUUCUGUUCUGGAGCUAAAUCUCACAACAAAUGGACAUGUUUUUGGACCACUCGUGUUUCAUCUCCGAAGGAUGGUUAA